AGUAAAAUAAGCUAAUAAAAGCUCUCGGGCCCAUACCCCGAACAUAAUGGUUAAAAUCCAUUUUUUACUA
rnacentral:tRNA from 1 species